ensembl:lncRNA
UCCAUUAGAGUAAACUUUGUUUCUACAUAACAAAGUAUGUUCCUGCCUUGGUAAUGUGUGAUAAACUUGGUUGUCUGUGAUGCUCCACAGCCAUACAUGCAGCCAGCUCUGAAAAUCAACUUACUUUUUUUGUGCAGGUCUGCAACCAACCUAUGUAGUGUUUUGUGAUUGCCUUUGAGCAGAGGGUGCUCAAAAAUGUGGAUUCUCCUGCUGCCCUGUAACAGCAGUUCUGCUCUUAGUGGUCUACUCUCACCUCACCCAGCACUGGUGCUGCCUUCAGCACAAAAUGCUAAACUCCCAUCUGAACUUUAAAGGUGGUUUCAUGUUGUAAGAAACAAGAGAGACCUCAGUGAUCUCUGUCAUUACUCUGCAAAGGCAUUUUGUUGACAUUUUUUACUUUUUUCUUUGCUAAACUAAGAGAAAGCACAGAGCAGACCAGAGGGCAGGCAGAAUGAUGCUAUGUUUAGGACUGAGUGCCAGGCUGAGGAGUUGGAAUGCUUCACUCCAUCACAGGCAUUGAUAGCUGGGACCUCAGUCAUUGAGUUGAUUAAGCUUAAAAUUAAACAUAUCUUAAAAGCUCAAUCGACUGAGACCUAGCUUCUGAACGUCUUCAGCAUGAACCUUCCAGAGGACAUAAAAGGGCUCGAUAAGAUAAGAAAUGAGCUAUCGAGUGCUGCUCUUGAGACAUCAUCCUCAACUCCUUGAAGUCAACAGAAAGCUACUGAGAGUCUUCAGUGGGCUUUGGAUCAGACGUUUGGCGUAUUAACAGUAAGAGUAUUUGUGUUCACCCGGUGAGUCUCUAUGGCAACACCUCACAGGAGCUGUGUGCUCUAAUAGAGUUUUCUUCUCCUUGAUUUUGGUGGCUUGUGCUUCCUGUCUGCCUUAGCCCACCAUAUCUCAAUCUGGGGACCUUGGCAUUGCCAGCAUUUCAAAACCACGGCCAAACGCUGGGCACUGUGCCUGGCUCCUUAUUUUCAUUAGCACCCAGCACACCUUAAUUAGCAGCGUGGCACUCGUGUGGAGCCAAGGUAUAGAAGAACGUGUGUGCAAAUUUAUUUCUAAACACAAAGAUGUAAGAGUGAACGCUAUUGCAGUGAUUUCCAUCCUCUCCUUUUCCUUUUAGCAAGUGGGCGAUGGUUGUGUGUGUGUGUUUUGGAGUUUCAUUUGUCUUCAAGUAAUAUCACAAAGUAAAUGAAAGGGAAAACGGGACUCAAAUACGUAUAUUUUGUAGUUAUGCAGACUAAAAAUGAGAAUUUCGGAGAAAAAUGUCCCAUUUUAGUAGUAUUCAUUCCCCCUUGGUGAUGACUUCAUUGAUAAUCCUCUGCAGUGCCGUUUCUGAAUAUGUUUGCAGCGAAUGAAAGCCUGGAGCAGUGAACCUUUCAGUGUGAACCUGCUGUGAUGGGGCUCUUAGCCUGCAGCAGGGCUUCGCACAACAGCAGCAUUUGAGGCCUUUCCCAGCACUGUGUGCUUCUUUUGAGCAUCCAUCAGUGCAUUGGGCAUGCCGAGCAGAGCCCAGCUGGCUGGUGGGAGAAGCACUCAAUUCACGUUUAGACAUUUACUCUCUGGCCAUAAAUUUAGCUGUCUUAAUUUUGAAUU